GCCGGAGAUCAGGAGGCCGGACCGAAUCCUCGCUGCCGCCGGAGAUCAGGAGGAGGAGGAGGAAGGGAGACCAGCGCGCGGCGGAGCUGGGCUUUCACUCAGGGUGGGUACAGACCGGUCCUUCUGACUCGUGAUGAUAACUCAAGGUUGGGCAGCGGCGGCUGUGGUAGCAAACGGUGGUGGCGGCACAAGAGGAGAUGAGAAGAAGGCGGCUCCAGGGUGUGACGUGGAGGCACUGCGCAAGUGCCUGGAAGAGAACAAGGGUGAUCGCGUCAAGUGCCAGGCCCACAUCGACGCCUUCCGAUCCUCAUGUUCUGUCAGCCCCACCGCCACCUCCAACCAACGUCCCAGCGUACAAAAGGAGGCCUGAAACACUGGAGUUCUUGCUGGGGUGGUUUUACAAAAAACCUUGUGGAAUAAUUAUGAUGAAUGGUGCGACUGCACGAAUGGUCAUGUGAAAGAUAGUAUAAUUAGGACUUAGACUAGCAGUUUUCUUUUUAACUUUCUUUGUCACUGCUGUGUAUGGUAUUUGUUGGUGUGGAAAUAAGCAUUGCCAAAACUCUGAAACUCGAUGUCAACAUAGCGAAUAGCUUAGCUACCAGAAUCACCAUUUUCUUCAGUGAGUCACUUCUUGGAACGGGCCGUGCUGGGCUACUUCACAAUUUGGAGUCUCAAGCUUAGCCUAGUUUUGUCUGGUGUUUUGGAUAAUAUGCACCUGAUUCAAAGAUCUUGUUAGGUGCUUUGUUUUUCCUUGGUAAGUGGUGUUGACAAUUCUAUUUUUUAA